ACUGCUGCUGUAACCUUGGCGCCGCGUGACCUCUGCCCAGCGCCGUGUGACCCUCUGCCCAGUCCCGCCGCACAACAUCUGUCUCCGUCGAAGCCAAGCCAGUCGCCGUCCAUUCCUCUCCUUUCUCCUCUGUUUUCAGCCAGCCGCCGCCGAUUCCUUCUCCUCCGUUGUCUGCAAUGCCGCGCGACUCUCCGUCCGUCUGUAUACGGUCUCUCCGUCGCACGUCGUCUCUUCGCAAAGCUACUGCUCGACUUCUUCCGCGAAUAACAUCUGCCAUGAACCGAACUAAAGACCCCAGAUCCAACUUUCUACGCGUCGAGUUCCUUCUUCGUCCUGCCGCAGGAUUGGGUCGUUAGCUGUCGUUCCUGCUUUGCCACGAGUCAUUAAAUUCUGAUUGGUUGAAGGUAACGUUCGAAUUCCUUGGGUUCGCAGCAAACAAUUGAUUCUAGUUAGAACUAGUUUCGCGAAGAUUUGGGUUCGUUCUUCGUAGACUUCAACGUGGUUAAGGAGCUUAACUAACUUGAAAGUAAAGGUAAUAAAGGUGGCAAACCGGCGAGGGGCAGGAAGGAAGCGUGAUUGCCA